GGAGUGAUGAAGGCCUGCGCCCCGCCCCCUCCCCAACUCUGCUCUGCUCCUGAAG
ensembl:snoRNA